rnacentral:rRNA from 1 species
CCUACGGGUGGCAGCAGUGAGGAAUAUUGGUCAAUGGGCGCGAGCCUGAACCAGCCAAGUAGCGUGAAGGAUGACUGCACUACGGAUUGUAAACUUCUUUUAUAAAGGAAUAAAGUGAGGCACGUGUGCCUUUUUGUAUGUACUUUAUGAAUAAGGAUCGGCUAACUCCGUGCCAGCAGCCGCGGUAAUACGGAGGAUCCGAGCGUUAUCCGGAUUUAUUGGGUUUAAAGGGAGCGUAGAGGGGUUGUUAAGUCAGUUGUGAAAGUGUGCGGCUCAACCGUAAAAUUGCAAUUGAUACUGGCAGUCUUGAGUACAGUGGAGGUAGGGGGAAUUGGGGGUGUAGCGGUGAAAGGCUUAGAUAUCACGAAGAACUCCGAUGGCGAAGGCAGCUUACUAAACUGCAACGGCCAUUGAUGCUCGAAAGUGGGGUAUCAAACAGGAUUAGAUACCCGAGUAGUC